CUGAAUCUUGCUGUUUGUGUCUUUGAGUC
rnacentral:piRNA from 1 species